CAUCACCAUCUCUAGUCGGUCUCCAUCACUGCCUUCCUCUCCAUUGUCACCGGCAUCGGCCUUCCCUUUUUAAUCUUCCUUAGGUAUUUUUUCAAAUAUAUGCCAACCUCCGUCCUACUCUCCUCGCCGCCACCUCACAUUGGGUUUCACUAUCAUCUUCCCCCAUUGUCAUCGGCAUCGGCCUUUCCCUUUUAUCUCCCUCAGGUGCAUUCCUUUCCACAGAUUUCUGAAAAAGAGAGAAAUUGAAUAGCCU
rnacentral:lncRNA from 1 species